rnacentral:rRNA from 1 species
UACGUAGGGGGCAAGCGUUGUCCGGAUUUAUUGGGCGUAAAGAGCGUGUAGGCGGCCAUGCAGGUCCGUUGUGAAAACUCGAGGCUCAACCUCGAGACGCCGAUGGAAACCGCAUGGCUAGAGUCCGGAAGAGGAGAGUGGAAUUCCUGGUGUAGCGGUGAAAUGCGCAGAUAUCAGGAAGAACACCCGUGGCUAAGGCGGCUCUCUAGUCCGGUACUGACGCUGAGACGCGAAAGCGUGGGGAGCGAACAGG